rfam:Ovis aries breed Texel chromosome 2, whole genome shotgun sequence.
UCCCCGGUAGCUCAAAUGGUAAAGAAUCUGCCUGGAAUGCAGGGGACCUGGGUUCAAUCCCUGGAUGGAGAA